rnacentral:hammerhead_ribozyme from 1 species
AUCCAGCUCACGAGUUCCAAUUAGGACGAAACGCGCGUUCUGGAU